rnacentral:rRNA from 1 species
ACGAACGCUGGCGGCAGGCCUAACACAUGCAAGUCGAGCGGACCUUUCGGGGUCAGCGGCGGACGGGUGAGUAACGCGUGGGAAUAUGCCCUUCUCUACGGAAUAGUCCUGGGAAACUGGGGGUAAUACCGUAUACGCCCUUUGGGGGAAAGAUUUAUCGGGGAAGGAUUAGCCCGCGUUGGAUUAGGUAGUUGGUGGGGUAAUGGCCUACCAAGCCGACGAUCCAUAGCUGGUUUGAGAGGAUGAUCAGCCACACUGGGACUGAGACACGGCCCAGACUCCUACGGGAGGCAGCAGUGGGGAAUCUUAGACAAUGGGGGCAACCCUGAUCUAGCCAUGCCGCGUGAGUGAUGAAGGCCUUAGGGUUGUAAAGCUCUUUCAGCUGGGAAGAUAAUGACGGUACCAGCAGAAGAAGCCCCGGCUAACUCCGUG